rnacentral:sRNA from 1 species
GCACCUCAUAAAGCGGGUGCCGGGAUUGGCGUCCUGGAAUUGUUAUCGGCGACAAAUGACGCGCCACUGCGCCUGCGUCUAUUGU